rnacentral:rRNA from 1 species
ACGGGUGAGUAACGCGUAGGCAACCUGCCUGGUAGCGGGGGAUAACUAUUGGAAACGAUAGCUAAUACCGCAUAACAGUAGAUAUUGCAUGAUAUCUACUUGAAAGGUGCAAUUGCAUCACUACCAGAUGGACCUGCGUUGUAUUAGCUAGUUGGUGAGGUAACGGCUCACCAAGGCAACGAUACAUAGCCGACCUGAGAGGGUGAUCGGCCACACUGGGACUGAGACACGGCCCAGACUCCUACGGGAGGCAGCAGUAGGGAAUCUUCGGCAAUGGACGGAAGUCUGACCGAGCAACGCCGCGUGAGUGAAGAAGGUUUUCGGAUCGUAAAGCUCUGUUGUAAGAGAAGAACGAGUGUGAGAGUGGAAAGUUCACACUGUGACGGUAUCUUACCAGAAAGGGACGGCUAACUACGUGCCAGCAGCCGCGGUAAUACGUAGGUCCCGAGCGUUGUCCGGAUUUAUUGGGCGUAAAGCGAGCGCAGGCGGUUAGAUAAGUCUGAAGUUAAAGGCUGUGGCUUAACCAUAGUACGCUUUGGAAACUGUUUAACUUGAGUGCAAGAGGGGAGAGUGGAAUUCC